GAUGAACGCUGGCGGCGUGCUUAACACAUGCAAGUCGAACGGAAAGGCCCAAGCUUGCUUGGGUACUCGAGUGGCGAACGGGUGAGUAACACGUGGGUGAUCUGCCCUGCACUUCGGGAUAAGCCUGGGAAACUGGGUCUAAUACCGGAUAGGACGAUGGUUUGGAUGCCAUUGUGGAAAGUUUUUUCGGUGUGGGAUGAGCUCGCGGCCUAUCAGCUUGUUGGUGGGGUAAUGGCCUACCAAGGCGUCGACGGGUAGCCGGCCUGAGAGGGUGUACGGCGACAUUGGGACUGAGAUACGGCCCAGACUCCUACGGGGGGCAGCAGUGGGGAAUAUUGCACAAUGGGCGCAAGCCUGAUGCAGCGACGCCGCGUGGGGGAUGACGGCCUUCGGGUUGUAAACUCCUUUCGCUAGGGACGAAGCGUUUUUGUGACGGUACCUGGAGAAGAAGCACCGGCUAACUACGUG
rnacentral:rRNA from 1 species